AUGCCUUACACAUGCAAGUCGAACGGCAGCGCGGGAGCAAUCCUGGCGGCGAGUGGCGAACGGGUGAGUAAUACAUCGGAACGUGCCCAAUCGUGGGGGAUAACGCAGCGAAAGCUGUGCUAAUACCGCAUAAGAUCUACGGAUGAAAGCAGGGGAUCGCAAGACCUUGCGCGAAUGGAGCGGCCGAUGGCAGAUUAGGUAGUUGGUGAGGUAAAGGCUCACCAAGCCUUCGAUCUGUAGCUGGUCUGAGAGGACGACCAGCCACACUGGGACUGAGACACGGCCCAGACUCCUACGGGAGGCAGCAGUGGGGAAUUUUGGACAAUGGGCGCAAGCCUGAUCCAGCCAUGCCGCGUGCAGGAUGAAGGCCUUCGGGUUGUAAACUGCUUUUGUACGGAACGAAAAGUCUCUUUCUAAUAAAGAGGGAUCAUGACGGUACCGUAAGAAUAAGCACCGGCUAACUACGUGCCAGCAGCCGCGGUAAUACGUAGGGUGCAAGCGUUAAUCGGAAUUACUGGGCGUAAAGCGUGCGCAGGCGGUUAUGUAAGACAGUUGUGAAAUCCCCGGGCUC
rnacentral:rRNA from 1 species